GAUAAGAACCAACAGACAACACAACCAAUCAUGUGUGCCAAGCACAAACUCAAAUGAAAUGAGUCAAGCAUCCUACAAAAUAAACCAAGUUAGUCCAUAACAAGCAUAUAAACCAAACUCAAUCAACUUGAAUUAAACUCUUCAAAGCAUUUGCUUCUUCAACCUGAAAAGUCAAACUCAAAUGUGAGAAACAAGACCACUAGGACAAGCCUAGGGUCAAAAGGAGACCAAAAAUCCAAAAC
rnacentral:lncRNA from 1 species